rnacentral:rRNA from 1 species
UACGUAGGGGGCUAGCGUUGUCCGGAAUCAUUGGGCGUAAAGCGCGCGUAGGCGGCCCGGUAAGUCCGUUGUGAAAGUCAAAGGCUCAACCUUUGAAAGCCGAUGGAUACUGCCGGGCUAGAGUCCGGAAGAGGCGAGUGGAAUUCCUGGUGUAGCGGUGGAAUGCGCAGAUAUCAGGAGGAACACCGAUAGCGAAGGCAGCUCGCUGGGACGGUACUGACGCUAAGGUGCGAAAGCGUGGGGAGCGAACAGG